AGUAGAAUUGCUGGAUUAUAUGGUAACUCUAUAUUCAACAUUUUGAGGAAUUUUGAGACUGUUUUCCAAAGUGACUGUACCAUUUUACAUUCCCACCAGCAGU
rnacentral:pre_miRNA from 1 species